GUGAGACAGUUCGGUCUCUAUCUGUUGUGGGCGUAGGAGAUUUGCGAGGCCCCGACACUAGUACGAGAGGACCGUGUCGGACAGACCUCCGGUGUACCGGUUGUUCCGCCAGGAGCACCGCCGGGUAGCCGAGUCUGGCCAGGAUAAGUGCUGAAAGCAUCUAAGCACGAAGCCCCCCUCAAGAUAAGAUCUCCAUACAGGGCCGUCAGAGACGAUGACGUCGAUAGGCCGCAGGUGCAGGGACGGUAACGUCUAUAGCCGAGCGGUACUAAUAGCCCGAACCCUUUCCUUG
rnacentral:rRNA from 1 species